UACAGAGGUCUCAAGCGUUGUUCGGAUUCAUUGGGCGUAAAGGGUGCGUAGGUGGCGCUGUAAGUCAGGUGUGAAAUUUCGGAGCUUAACUCCGAAACUGCAUUUGAUACUGCGGUGCUUGAGGACUGGAGAGGAGACUGGAAUUUACGGUGUAGCAGUGAAAUGCGUAGAGAUCGUAAGGAAGACCAGUGGCGAAGGCGGGUCUCUGGACAGUUCCUGACGCUGAGGCACGAAAGCGUGGGUAGCAAACAGG
rnacentral:rRNA from 1 species